rnacentral:rRNA from 1 species
AUUGAACGCUGGCGGCAUGCCUUACACAUGCAAGUCGAACGGCAGCACGGGAGCAAUCCUGGUGGCGAGUGGCGAACGGGUGAGUAAAGUAUCGGAACGUACCUUUCAGUGGGGGAUAACGUAGCGAAAGUUACGCUAAUACCGCAUAUUCUGUGAGCAGGAAAGCAGGGGAUCGCAAGACCUUGCGCUGAUGGAGCGGCCGAUAUCAGAUUAGCUAGUUGGUGAGGUAAAGGCUCACCAAGGCGACGAUCUGUAGCGGGUCUGAGAGGAUGAUCCGCCACACUGGAACUGAGACACGGUCCAGACUCCUACGGGAGGCAGCAGUGGGGAAUUUUGGACAAUGGGGGCAACCCUGAUCCAGCCAUGCCGCGUGAGUGAAGAAGGCC